GAUGAACGCUGGCGGCGUGCCUAAUACAUGCAAGUCGAGCGAACAGACGAGGAGUUUGCUCCUCUGACGUUAGCGGCGGACGGGUGAGUAACACGUGGAUAACCUACCUAUAAGACUGGGAUGACUGCGGGACACCGGAGCUAAUACGGGACAAUAUAUUCGACCGCAUGGUGCAAUAGUGAAUGAGGGGUUGGCUGUGACUGCUGGAUGGAUCCGCGCCGCAUUAGUAAGUUGGUACGGUAACGGCUUACCAAGGCAACGAUGCGAAGCCGACCGGGGAGGGUGAUCGGCCACACUGGAACGGAGACACGGUCCAGACUCCUACGGGACGGCGCAGUAGGCAACCGUCCGCAAUGGGCGAAAGCCUGACGCAGCGGCCGCGCGUGUGUUGUGAAGGUGCUCGGAUCGUGAUACUCUGUUAUUAGGGGAGAACAACUGUGUCAGUAGCUGUGCACGUCUUGACGGUACCUAAUGAGAAAGCCCCGGCUAACUACGUG
rnacentral:rRNA from 1 species